GACGAACGCGGCGGCGUGCUUAACACAUGCAAGUCGAACGGGAUGAUUUAGAAGCUUGCUUUUAGAGAAUCUAGUGGCAAACGGGUGAGUAACUCGUAGACAACCUGCCGACAGGAUGGGGACAACAUUCCGAAAGGAAUGCUAAUACCGAAUGAAGUCGAGGGAAGGCAUCUUCCUUCGAUGAAAGAUGGCCUCUGAAUAUGCUAUCACCUGUCGAUGGGUCUGCGUCUGAUUAGUUGGUUGGUGAGGUAACGGCUCACCAAGGCGACGAUCAGUAGCCGGUCUGAGAGGAUGAACGGCCACAUUGGGACUGAGACACGGCCCAGACUCCUACGGGAGGCAGCAGUGGGGAAUCUUCCGCAAUGGGCGCAAGCCUGACGGAGCAACGCCGCGUGAGUGAAGAAGGUCUUCGGAUCGUAAAGCUCUGUUGAUGGGGACGAACGUACGGAGUGCGAAUAGUGCUCUGUAAUGACGGACCAUCAAGAGCCCGG
rnacentral:rRNA from 1 species